rnacentral:lncRNA from 1 species
CAAGGCCAUAAACAAAUAUUCUCGACUCUCGAGCCACCGCGCGGGGCAUGCAUGCAUGGAUCCUAUUUGCAUCAUCGACGUAGUUUCAAGCACGGAAGGGGAUCAGCAUCUUUCACAAAGGUACGGAGAUCGAGAUCAGAAGCCCAUCUACAGGGAAUCUUAGUCAACGGUACAAAAACCUCAGAAGAAUUAUGCUUCAUUACGUACGGUCAAAAAACGAACAUAGGAAUAGCACAGUGCAUGUGCACAACACUGUUGUAAAAUUUUAUAAAUAACAGUUACUUCAU